CAAGCAGGCGGCAGAGAUUCUCGGUGUAGCUCUAACUACUGCCAGACGGUGGAAACACCGUUAUGAGCAGGAAGGGGAAAGGGGUUUGAAAGCGCGCUAUGAUAAGUGUGGAAGAAAACGGAAGACGACGGAGGAUGAAGACAGGCACAUGGUGGAGGUGUUUUUGCCCUCCGUGGAGGAAAUGCGCCCCGACGAGGAGCGACCCUGGACUCUAAUGCAAGACAACGCCCCUAUCCACACAGCGAGGGCAGUCAAGCAGUGGUUCGAAGACCACGCAGACUCAUUUCGCGGGCUGGCCCUCAAUGAGCCCAGACCUGAACCCUAUCGAAAAUGUGUGGUCUCUAAUGGUUCAUGAGCUGGAGGAGGAGCUGCACCAGCCGGCCCGGCAGCUCAACCAGGACGAGCUCUGGGCCGCCGUCUUGGCGAAAUGGGAGGAGCUCCGCCGCCGCCCCGGCUACUUCCAGAGCCUGGUGGCCUCGAUGAGGCAGCGGCUGGAGCAGUGCUCCGAGGCAGCGGGCGGCCACACCUACUAAACCGUUCUGUUUGUUUGUCAUCUAAUGUUAAAGAACAGUGUUUUGUUUAUAAAUUUUACUUAUGUUACCUACAUGUGAUUAGUGUGCAAGAUGUAUAUUAGUACAAAUGUGAUUCAGUGACAAGAGGCUGAUGCCUGAUUUUUUUUCUUUCGUGAUGUGAUAUUCAGGGGGCUUGAAACGUCUCAACUAUUAGUGCGAGCUAGGAGUGCUAUGAUCAGCAGCACUUGUACAGGGUGUUCACUAAAAAUUGAGACAAAGUUUAGCAGGCUGUAUCUUCGGUAAAAAUGUACCGAUUUAAACAAACGAGGCAUUGUUGUAAUGCACAUUGCAUCUGCUGCAAACCGUUGAGCGUCAACAGAUUUGCCUGAUUCCCGUAGGUCAUUUUUUGGACAUUUUCUUGUAAGUGUUUUCACAAGGUCUGGCACCAGUGGACCGUGAAUUUGGCCAAUUCAUGGCGGUAAUGAGCAGCCAGUUGAUAUUUUGUAUCAAAUUUAAAGACACCAAUUUACGUAAUAGCCUUCGGCAAAUCACAUUAGAUACUCAUUUGUUAAUUUCAGUCGUGGCAAAUGGCUUAUCGGGCCUUGUUUCAAUCAUGCAAUUUUUACAUCGGCCGGAGCCCCCAAGGCGCCCCUUGAUUAGUGUGCUGGCGCGAGGUCGGACCAGAAGAUCACCUUCUGGUUACAUAUGUUGUUCUGCAUGAACCUCUAGUGCUAAAUAAUACACUUGACUCAGAAAG